AACGAACGCUGGCGGCAUGCCUAACACAUGCAAGUCGAACGAUUGCCUUCGGGUGAUAGUGGCGCACGGGUGCGUAACGCGUGGGAAUCUGCCCUUAGGUUCGGAAUAACAGCUGGAAACGGCUGCUAAUACCGGAUGAUAUCGCGAGAUCAAAGAUUUAUCGCCUGAGGAUGAGCCCGCGUUGGAUUAGGUAGUUGGUGGGGUAAAGGCCUACCAAGCCGACGAUCCAUAGCUGGUCUGAGAGGAUGAUCAGCCACACUGGGACUGAGACACGGCCCAGACGAGGGCGGGCACCAGCAGUGGAGAAUAGGGGCCGAUGGCCGCACGCGGGAUCAGCGCAGGCGGGGUUGGGGAGGAAGGCAGUAGGGUAGUAAAGCGCUGUAGCCCGGGAGGAGAGUGACUGGGCGGGGACAAGAAGCCCCGGGAAACUGCGGACAAGCAGGGGCGGAAAUAAGGGGAAGGGCACAGGGCUGAUC
rnacentral:rRNA from 1 species